UACGUAGGUGGCAAGCGUUGUCCGGAAUUAUUGGGCGUAAAGCGCGCGCAGGUGGUUUCUUAAGUCUGAUGUGAAAGCCCACGGCUCAACCGUGGAGGGUCAUUGGAAACUGGGGAACUUGAGUGCAGAAGAGGAAAGUGGAAUUCCACGUGUAGCGGUGAAAUGCGUAGAGAUGUGGAGGAACACCAGUGACGAAGGCGACUUUCUGGUCUGUAACUGACACUGAGGCGCGAAAGCGUGGGGAGCGAACAGG
rnacentral:rRNA from 1 species